rnacentral:sRNA from 1 species
UCCCUGCAUUUUGAUCAUGCAUGACACUUGGUCUUUCUCUCUUGUUUUUGUUUGCUGUUGGUAUCCUGUGACACAGACGCCACCAUCUCUUCGUCGAUGUUCAGCUCCCCACCAAACAUCAUGAAGACAGUGUUGGUCCCAUCUUCGAUGGCUGUGUCAAAGCACUGUGCAGAAGCAAUCAGUUUCAGGUCCUUGUCAUAGAAGGUCAUCUGUCAGUUCUGAGCAUUCUUCUUAGCCAUUCACUCCACCAUGGACAGGUCGGAGGGCUCGGACGGGUUAAUGGUCAUCUUAUAAGUGUCGACCCACUUCCCUUGCUCGCGAGCCUUGAAAAUGAUCGUGACCGUCCUAGUGCUGGUUGACACAUCCUCGAGCCUGGAUGCCCC